rnacentral:rRNA from 1 species
CGGAAGACCAAGGGUUCCUGUCCAACGUUAAUCGGGGCAGGGUGAGUCGACCCCUAAGGCGAGGCCGAAAGGCGUAGUCGAUGGGAAACGGGUUAAUAUUCCCGUACUUGGUGUUACUGCGAAGGGGGGACGGAGAAGGCUAUGUUGGCCGGGCGACGGUUGUCCCGGUUUAAGCGUGUAGGUGUGUGUUCCAGGUAAAUCCGGUUCACUUUAACACUGAGGCGUGAUGACGAGGCACUACGGUGCUGAAGCAACAAAUGCCCUGCUUCCAGGAAAAGCCUCUAAGCAUCAGGUAACAUCAAAUCGUACCCCAAACCGACACAGGUGGUCAGGUAGAGAAUACCAAGGCGCUUGAGAGAACUCGGGUGAAGGAACUAGGCAAAAUGGUGCCGUAACUUCGGGAGAAGGCACGCUGACACGUAGGUGAAGUGAUUUACUCACGGAGCUGAAGUCAGUCGAAGAUACCAGCUGGCUGCAACUGUUUAUUAAAAACACAGCACUGUGCAAACACGAAAGUGGACGUAUACGGUGUGACGCCUGCCCGGUGCCGGAAGGUUAAUUGAUGGGGUCAGCGCAAGCGAAGCUCCUGAUCGAAGCCCCGGUAAACGGCGGCCGUAACUAUAACGGUCCUAAGGUAGCGAAAUUCCUUGUCGGGUAAGUUCCGACCUGCACGAAUGGCGUAAUGAUGGCCAGGCUGUCUCCACCCGAGACUCAGUGAAAUUGAACUCGCUGUGAAGAUGCAGUGUACCCGCGGCAAGACGGAAAGACCCCGUGAACCUUUACUAUAGCUUGACACUGAACAUUGAGCCUUGAUGUGUAGGAUAGGUGGGAGGCUUUGAAGUGUGGACGCCAGUCUGCAUGGAGCCGACCUUGAAAUACCACCCUUUAAUGUUUGAUGUUCUAACGUGGACCCGUGAUCCGGGUUGCGGACAGUGUCUGGUGGGUAGUUUGACUGGGGCGGUCUCCUCCUAAAGAGUAACGGAGGAGCACGAAGGUUGGCUAAUCCUGGUCGGACAUCAGGAGGUUAGUGCAAUGGCAUAAGCCAGCUUGACUGCGAGCGUGACGGCGCGAGCAGGUGCGAAAGCAGGUCAUAGUGAUCCGGUGGUUCUGAAUGGAAGGGCCAUCGCUCAACGGAUAAAAGGUACUCCGGGGAUAACAGGCUGAUACCGCCCAAGAGUUCAUAUCGACGGCGGUGUUUGGCACCUCGAUGUCGGCUCAUCACAUCCUGGGGCUGAAGUAGGUCCCAAGGGUAUGGCUGUUCGCCAUUUAAAGUGGUACGCGAGCUGGGUUUAGAACGUCGUGAGACAGUUCGGUCCCUAUCUGCCGUGGGCGCUGGAGAACUGAGGGGGGCUGCUCCUAGUACGAGAGGACCGGAGUGGACGCAUCACUGGUGUUCGGGUUGUCAUGCCAAUGGCACUGCCCGGUAGCUAAAUGCGGAAGAGAUAAGUGCUGAAAGCAUCUAAGCACGAAACUUGCCCCGAGAUGAGUUCUCCCUGAGACUUAGAGUCUCCUGAAGGAACGUUGAAGACGACGACGUUGAUAGGCCGGGUGUGUAAGCGCAGCGAUGCGUUGAGCUAACCGGUACUAAUGAACCGUGAGGCUUAACCUUACAACGCCGAAG